rnacentral:rRNA from 1 species
UACGUAGGGGGCAAGCGUUGUCCGGAAUCAUUGGGCGUAAAGAGCGCGUAGGCGGCCCUGUAAGUCCGCUGUGAAAGUCAAGGGCUCAACCCUUGAAUGCCGGUGGAUACUGCAGGGCUAGAGUCCGGAAGAGGCGAGUGGAAUUCCUGGUGUAGCGGUGAAAUGCGCAGAUAUCAGGAGGAACACCGAUGGCGAAGGCAGCUCGCUGGGACGGUACUGACGCCUGAGGCGCGAAAGCUAGGGGAGCAAACGGG